rnacentral:rRNA from 1 species
AGAGUUUGAUCAUGGCUCAGGAUGAACGCUAGCUACAGGCUUAACACAUGCAAGUCGAGGGGAAACGACAUCGAAAGCUUGCUUUUGAUGGGCGUCGACCGGCGCACGGGUGAGUAACGCGUAUCCAACCUGCCCACCACUUGGGGAUAACCUUGCGAAAGUAAGACUAAUACCCAAUGACGUCUCUAGAAGACAUCUGAAAGAGAUUAAAGAUUUAUCGGUGAUGGAUGGGGAUACGUCUGAUUAGCUUGUUGGCGGGGUAACGGCCACCAAGGCGACGAUCAGUAGGGGUUCUGGAGAGGAAGGUCCCCCANAUUGGAACUGAGACACGGUCCAAACUCCGUACGGGAGGCA